rnacentral:lncRNA from 1 species
GAUGGCUCUCGUUGUUUGCCAACUUGUCCCAAAAAACAUAUUGGGAACCUGAUGCAGAUCACUCUCAUAAGUCGUGGAGUAAGACUGAAUCUCAGUUUAAACUUCUCAAAUUUCUAUUCUGAACGGACUUCAGGUUAUAAAAUGUGUUGGACCAGGCUACCUCGAGCUUUCGCUGUUAUUUGCAAACCUUAAAGUUUGCAUGACGUGGUACAUUACGCCCAUUGGACCACUUAAAGUUCCUGUGGCCGGGCGACUGUACGCGCAACCAUUCCACUUUUUUGCGGGACGCGUAUUACGAAGCUAUUAUAAUGCCAUUUGGUGGAGAAGGGUCACCGGAGGGUAAA